AAGUCAUAACAAGGUUUCUGUAGGUGAACCUGCAGAAGGAUCAUUAGUGAAUACACCGGGGAACCCACUCUGUGGGCCCCAACCCUUCACCAUAUCCUCACACCUGUGCACCGCUGGUAGCCGCCGCUGUACUUCGGUACGGUUUGCAGCUGCUGGCAACCUAUACACACACACCUGAGUUCUAUGAAUGUUAAUUUUACUUGCCUUCGGGCAGAACUAAAAUACAACUUUUGACAACGGAUCUCUUGGUUCUCC
rnacentral:misc_RNA from 1 species